rnacentral:rRNA from 1 species
UGGGCGUAGAGGGCUCGCAGGCGGUUUCUUAAGUCUGAUGUGAAAGCCCCCGGCUCAACCGGGGAGGGUCAUUGGAAACUGGGAAACUUGAGUGCAGAAGAGGAGAGUGGAAUUCCACGUGUAGCGGUGAAAUGCGUAGAGAUGUGGAGGAACACCAGUGGCGAAGGCGACUCUCUGGUCUGUAACUGACGCUGAGGAGCGAAAGCGUGGGGAGCGAACAGGAUUAGAUACCCUGGUAGUCCACGCCGUAAACGAUGAGUGCUAAGUGUUAGGGGGUUUCCGCCCCUUAGUGCUGCAGCUAACGCAUUAAGCACUCCGCCUGGGGAGUACGGUCGCAAGACUGAAACUCAAAGGAAUUGACGGGGGCCCGCACAAGCGGUGGAGCAUGUGGUUUAAUUCGAAGCAACGCGAAGAACCUUACCAGGUCUUGACAUCCUCUGACAACCCUAGAGAUAGGGCUUUCCCUUCGGGGACAGAGUGACAGGUGGUGCAUGGUUGUCGUCAGCUCGUGUCGUGAGAUGUUGGGUUAAGUCCCGCAACGAGCGCAACCCUUGAUCUUAGUUGCCAGCAUUCAGUUGGGCACUCUAAGGUGACUGCCGGUGACA